GAGGUUAUGGCUCAGUGGUAGAGCUCAGGCCUAGCAUGCAUGAGGUCCUGGGUUCAAUUCCCAGUACCUCCA
rfam:Camelus ferus unplaced genomic scaffold scaffold1731, whole genome shotgun sequence.